rnacentral:rRNA from 1 species
UUCGCAAUGCCCGAAAGGGUGACGAAGCGACGCCGCGUGUGGGAAGAAGGCCUUCGGGUUGUAAACCACUGUCGGGAGUUAAGAAAUGCAAGGGUGCUAAUAGUAUCCUUGCUUGACUAAGGCUCCGGAGGAAGCCACGGCUAACUCUGUGCCAGCAGCCGCGGUAAGACAGAGGUGGCGACCGUUGUUCGGAAUCACUGGGCAUAAAGCGCGUGUAGGCGGCAUCGUAAGUCGGGUGUGAAAUCCCUCGGCCCAACCGAGGAAUUGCGCCCGAAACUACCUUGCUUGAGGACCAGAGGGGAGCCUGGAAUUCCUGGUGGAGCGGUGAAAUGCGUUGAUAUCAGGAGGAACACCGGCGGCGAAGGCGAGGCUCUGGCUGGUUACUGACGCUGAGUACGCGAAAGCUAGGGGAGCAAACGGGAUUAGAUACCCCGGUAGUCCUAGCCGUAAACGAUGGGCACUAAGUAGAGGGGUUUU